rnacentral:lncRNA from 1 species
CUAGCUUAGGUGUUCAUCCUGAAAUCCAGAUAAUGUACCUAUAAUAUGUGGUUGAUUCAAUAUGCAAUCAUCUCUUAGAUAGUCAAAGUCAAAAUAAGCUUUAUUCUUCUUACAAUAGAGCAUUCAAACUACAAAGCAACCAGAUGAAAUUUUAUUUAAAAGAGCCAAAAUGUGGGUUAUGGUCAGUUCAGAGUCAAUUGAUUAAGAUGUUUGGUCUCACGUUGACACCCAAUGGAAUUGUAAGACUCAAGCCAUUAAAGGCUUAAAUAGUUGUCUUAAACUGGUUUAAUCAAAGGAGAUUAGAAUUACACAAGACUUAAGAAUUUAAAGAUCAGCCUGAAUAACUUUUUUCAGAGCCAUAGCAAAGAAUAGUGUUAUCCUCAGCAAAUAACAUAAAUUUGACUAAUUUCCGAAGUCACUUAUCUCAAUGAUAUUAGUGAGCUGAAACAAGAAUGUAUUAAGUGCACAAAAGCCAUUUACCAAAAAUGCUCCAAAGCUUUGUUAUAAUUUAUCUGACCAACUAAAACAGCUUUUUAAUCUUCCCCUGCAUAUUAUUUUUCAUAAUUUAAUUUGACACUUAUGGCACAUAUUUUAUAACUUGAUUUUCAUUACUGUCAUUAGAGAUGUCUAGUUUUCCAGUCAAGGACAUUAGUGUUUUUCUCACAAAAUCCUUUGUUGCACAAAAUUUCUAUUACAGUUUGGUGUUAUUGUGUUUACAGAAAAUUAGAUAUCCUUUGGUUGAUAGUGGUCUUAAACGGGUCUUACUUCAGUGAAUAUUUUUUGUGAGAUAUAUAAAAAUAUAAGAUUUUUAAGGAAUUAUGAUAAAUAAAUGCUUGAAAAAAGUUCUUGUUUGAUGUGCAUUGAGGAUAAGAAUACAUUCAGUAAUUUUUAUAUUUAUAUAUGAUUUCUUCUAUGAAUUUGUAGGAAAAUAAUUACUUGCUUUUUGAAUAUUUGUUUGUCUGAUUCUAAAAUGUCAGUAACAUUUUAUGUUAGUAAAAAGUUAUAUUAAAAUUGAUCAGAGCAUGGAAUAGGAUUAUAGGCCUAGGAUAUCAGUUCUGUUUUUUAAGUAUCUGCAACAACAGCUAAAUUUAAUGAGAAUUUGAAAAUUAAAUACAUAAAAAAAAUUGUAUGUCCUCUCUAUAUUUCAAUCCCUACAUUAGUCAUUUCUCAUUAUAUAUUCCUAUAAUGAGAUAAUAAGAUAUCCUAAUCAAUUCAAAUCUGUCCUUCAAGAUGUAGGUCAAAUACAAUAUAAGGCUUCAGUCACCCUUGAGAGAAUGAUACUGUAAACAUGUAUAAUUAAUUGCUUCUGUCUGCUUAUUAUUAGGUAUGUUUUCCAAGAGAUAGGAGUCUGUCUUUGUGGAAAAGAUCUGAGUUUAUUUUCUUUUAUAUUAUAUGAGCUUAAAAACAGGUUUUUAUGUGUUUAUAACCCAUUGAUUUGAAAAUAUUGUAUAUCUUUAACCUGACUGUUUAUAUUUUUGAUAAGUACAGGAACAUGUAAUAGCCUUGUUUCAAGUGGACUUAAAAUUAGUUUUGAAUUUUUACUUUAGGGGUUGAAUAAAAUAUAUAUUUUGGAUAAUCUUACCAUCUGUUCUGCAAGUUUAAUAAAUAAAUGAAAAAAUUAAUAGGCAUUUGUUUUGUUUGUAUUGCCAUCCAGUGGGGUUUUAAUUUCUUAAUUGGAAGCUAUUGACCUUGUUUUCCCUUAUCUCUAAAUAUAAUAAUAAAUGGGUUCAUUUUUUAAUUACACUGCAAGUAAUGGUAAACCACACAAAGUGUCUGUGCUUCUUGAAGUGAAAUUAUUGCAUGACAGCAUUUAAAAAAAAUCAUGCAAAAUGUCUUGAAAAACACGCAAUACGAGGAUUCAUCAGAAACCAUCCUUACUGAAGGUUCCUCAGGCAUUCUUCAAUUACAGCAAGCAGAAACACCUCAUGACACAAUGAAGCAGUUGGCAACAAUAAGAAAGAACAGUUCUGGAAAGCAGUUAAACCUUUCGGAUCCUCAUAAUAUUGGAAUAGAAUCAGAACGGUCACAACGAGACACCGUAAGGCAGUUGGUUCCAGUAGGAAAAAAAACCUCGGGAAAGCGCCCAAAUUUGUCUGAUCCUCAAAUGGAUGAAGCUUUUAAAUCAAUAAAAACACUUACAGAAAAUCGAAGAGUAAGGGAUAGCUUUGAAGUAUAUGGGGAAUACGUGGCAAAUAAAUUAAGAACGUAUGAUGCAUUUGUUCGAGUUGAUGUAGAACAUAAAAUUAAUUGCGUUCUCCAUGAUGCUGAUAUGCGAAUACUUUAUCAUUCACACGGGCAGUUUACUCCAAGAACAACGAAUUUGCCACUACCAACUGUAUCACCUGUCUCAAGUUCGCUCUCUUACGCACCAGCUCCAUCUCCUUAUUAUACAUCAACAAGCAUUCAACAUCCUUCUGAUCAAGAUAGUCCAAAUGAACAUAGCUUUAUUGACGCCCUAAUUGGAUCCCAAGCGGAUAACUCUACGGACAUUUCAUAAAAACUAUAUUACGUUCUUAUAUGUUUUUAUUUGAUUAAAUAAGGAAAAAAGAAUUUGAUUUCUUACCUGAAUAUGAUCUGCCAAUGCUUCUAUAAGGGCUUCGCAAGUUUCAGGAACUAUAGUACCAAUUAGCUGUUUAGAAAUUUGAUUGGAUACAUUAGACUGACAUAUGAAUCUCCAGUGGCUAAAAACCUUAAAGUUAUCAUUAAUCUUGCUUUCACGCAUAUGGCUUCCCGAAAGUUUGUAUUUUUUUUGCAAUUUUAGGUCCAAUCAUAACGAUGAGAGUUUCAAAUGCGGUUGCAUUAACUCGAGUAAAGUUUUUGAACAGCAUUUGGUCUUCCAUUCUUAGUUCUGGUAAAAACUUCCGUUUUCUGUUUGCGAAUAUACUUCUUUGCCACCACCGUUGCUUUCUGCAGUUACGCGAUUUUUUAAUUUUCAUUAAUAGAAACGUGCACCAUGCGAGUAAAGCAUCGUCUUCGUCGCACAUUUUUGCUCGACUGAACGAACUUUUCAGCAACAAGGUUCGCCGAUGUUUUCCAACAAUCAUCGACGUUUGUUUGCCAACAGUUGAUCAACUCUUGCUCAACAGUUGUUCAGCUGCUCAACAAUGUUUGCGUUCCCACCUUUAAGACUGCAUGUAGAUGAAAGCAGGUAGCGUUUAUGAAUGGUGUGAAGUUAACAGACUCCCACUUCAGAAAUAUAAGAAAAUGUCAAUUUCAUAGCUCAAAAAUUAGAUUGACUUUGUUUACUUAAUAAAUGAUGAACUUUUAAAUUUUGACUCUGUUCGUGAGCUGGAGAUCUGUGUUGAUGAAAAGCUUACCUUUAAUGUUCAUAUAAAUACCAUCAUAGGACCUUCUUUACAGACCCUAGGCUUUAUUAUAAGAUCAACAGAAUUAUGUGAAUAUAAAAGGCUCAAAUCAGUUCGAUGAAAAUUCUAAAAAUGUUAGUUUUAGGAGGGAUGGUGUAUAUUAAUAUGAUAGUGGAUUCAGUCAGGAGUUAUUGUUGUCAAGAUUCUUCAUCAAUCUGUAUGCAACAACCAUCUCUUAUCAACUUUAAAUGUUGCUGUUCCGUACACCCAUAUAAGAAGAUAUGUAUACAAUAUAUUUUAUCUUAAUACUUAUGUUACCUAUUUGGCCCAGAAAGAACCCAUAUAUCGAUCAUGCAACUGGUUCAAUGAUGUGCAAUUACGGUUUAUUGUUGAUCUGUUUGCCAUGACUUGUAUAUAAGUACUACCUACUAUUAGUUUUAUAUUGUACCAGUUAGUGAGUCUGAUGUUGUUAUUUGAAACAUUACUGAAUUUAUUUUAUUAUCUAUCAAUAUUUUAAUAAUUGUCUGAUUGUUGGGAUUUGUUUCCUGUCUUGGACAACAGAACUUUGAAUUUAAAUUAUACAGGUAAUUUUUUACUCUCUGGUUAACGAAUAUCGAAUUAAAUAUUCAGAAAAACACAAAUAAAUCUAACUAUGUAAGAGAUCUGAGAUGGCAACUUCUUCUAAUUAUUACCUAUAAUUAGAAAUCGAACAUUUUGGUUUGAAACUGCAAUUUCUCAUUUUAUUUCUCUGUACUUAAUCAUAAGUUUACUGCAGAAUUAAAUAUCCUUCCAAAUAUCGUCAUGCUCUGUGCUAUUUAGUUUAUUACACACAGGACCAUUGAAAACUUAUGGCAACAUCUAUUUAUAGCAUUUAAUAACUGCUUUACGUCUAGAUACUUAUGUUCCGGUUAUUAUCUGAAAAUCCCCCUAUUUAUCCCACAUAUAUAUUAUCGGCGAGUUCAAUAAGCAUUUUGCGGUAACUGGAAAACAAUGAUCAAUUGUUUACUUAGAACUCUAGAAUACACAAUGGAACAUUCCUUAUAUUGAUUUUUAUUGGUGCGCUAAAUAUUACGCCUAGGCGCAAAAAUAGGAGCAAAUUCAUUAAAUUUUAUAUUUAAAAAAAAGGUCGUUGUUUACGCUAUUUGGCAUGGUACGUCAUUGGGUACGAUUCGAAAGUAGCGAACUUUGGGUUUUAAAUAUUUUACUUACAGUAGUUAUCACUAAAAAAAGUCUAAUAUCUCAUUUUAUUUAGAACCUAUGCAAAAGUAUGAGUACAAAUUAAAUCUGAAUUUAAACAUAUUUUAAGGAAAAAUAAAGUUAACUAUAUAUUUUAAAGAAAAUUCAAUGUAAACCUAAAUCAUCAUUCUAAUGCUUAGACACCUAAUAUUAUAACUAAUAUACUAAAAUUUAAUCUUACAUUAAUACUAAAAUUAUUGAUCCUGACUAAUUUUCUGAUUAAAACAUAAGUUAAGAAUUUUGAUGCUAUGUAAAGACACUUUGUUGCAUAAUUUGAAAAGGAAGAGUAAACCUACAUAGACAAUCUCAUUGCGAAGUGACAGACAUUGGAAAUGGUUCAAAAAUAUUUGAUGGUCGAAAUCCGCAGAUACCAUCAUUGUGAAAAUAUCAAUUUGAUCAGAUUAUAGGUUGGUAAUCAAAUCAAAUUAAAUAUUUAUUAAUACGUUACACAGUAUGUGUUUGUACAAGUCAAAUCUAAUGGCAAGAAAUAUUUAUAAAAAAGAAAAUUCAUUAUUACAUAUUAAAAUCUACAAUUUAAAAAAAUAUAUAUAACAAAUACGCAAAGAAAACAAACUUUCAUACAAAAUCAGCAGAUAAAUAGGGUAAAGCUAGGAGAGACGGCACACGUUUUACAAAACAUCAAAUAACUUCUUUAUUUAAAAAAAAACAUAUAAAAAAUACAGAAAAUAAACAUAAACUUUGACUUUCUUUAUUCAGUUAAAAAACAUAAACACUCAUCCUAGUGGUAUAAAAAAAUUAAAAACUGAAACUAGAAAUCAGUCCGUCUAUCCUACUCAGGCUAGGAGAGUUGGACAUUACUUGCUAGGAUAGAUGGACCUUGAAUUUUAUUCCUUUUUUUUUUUGUAGCACUGACGCCACAAUUUUGACAAACGUUCGAAAAAUCAUCUAAACUCAUGUCAUCGGACUCUGAAGAAGAGACUACUGUGUUUUUUUCACGAAUUUUCAACCGUUUAGGCUUCAUUGGUAUCUUUGACUUUCUGGUUGACUCUGGCACUUUACGCUUCCGCCUCUUUUCUAUUUCUGAUGUACGCCGGUGAAGAUAAAACUCUUCUCAGAUUGGUUGGGACCUUUCUCAUAGAUGGUCUUCUAUGAUAUUUUGUGUGAGUCUACUUAGUAGGAGGGUGAGUACUUAGAAGGACAAUAUAGAGUAUUUAUAAUCAGCUACUUAGUUAAACAGGAAUAUAGACAGCAAUUAAAACACCUGUAAGUUUAGAGGUAAUUUAUUAGAUAUCUACCAAUUAGAACUUGAGCAACAAUCUCUUUAAGCAACUUCGUGUCAUCUGCAAACUGGAGACUGUCGUUGAUAAAAGUUGAGAGGUAAAUAUAAACCAUAUUUGCUGAUUAAAACAGAAGAAAUCAUGUUUUUAUCUUGAUUUCUGGAAGCGUUUAUCAGUGGAUCCAAAUCAUUUACCGUUAAAGGAAGCUCAGGAAAGACAAAAAUAUUUUCUUACACAAUUUAAAAAGGAAGAGCAAACCUACACAAAAAAUGGUUCAAAAGGGUUUGAUGGUCGAAAUCCGUAAAUGCAAAAAAAUAUAUUUGAACAGAUUAAAGUUUGGCGAGAUGUACAUUAUAGUAUGAGAACCACAAUAGAGAGAAUUCAUAAUGAACCACUUGGUUUAAUCAGAAUAUAAACUUGGCACCAAUUAAAAAUUGUAUUUAGGUCAUCUUAGAGAAGCAGACAGUCUUUUUGAUCAAGUAUAGCCCGCAUUUAGCACUUUUGUGUUAUCUGCAAACUGGAGAUGUUCAUUGAUAAAAAUUGAAAGGUGUAAGAUUGCUACCUUGUGAAGUCCUCACUAAGUUCAAUGUAAUGCUUUGAUUUGUUAUUGUUUGAGUUGAUGGCACUUCUUAAAAAAAAAAACCUGUGGUAGAGUCUCAUAAUAUCAGAGUUUUUUAUCUUAUAUUUCUUUUAUAUAAUUCAUUUCUUUAACAGAUAUUUUGGUUUUUAAUUUUUAUACAGUCGAUACGUAUGUAAUUUAAUAAGAUUAACCUUAAAAGGAAUUACACGUUUAGCUACUGCAAUCGAUAGAUAUAUUAAAUAGACACAUGAUGACAAAUUUUUAUAAUUGCUCACAAAUCGACAACACGUAUUUUUUUCACGUUGAAGUCUUUGCUGGGAUAUUUUAUCAAGACAAGGAUAUUGAAAAAUUAAACAGUAACUAAGCUGAAGCAACUAAGAGUUUUUUUUAAAUUUACAAUAUUUUUGUUAGCAUAGAGCAAACGUAUACAUAAAUAACACCUCUGCAAGGUAAAACUAAUAUGUCCUUGGAAUCUUAAAGAAUCAAUAGUUGAACCUAGAAUCUUGACCCUCUCAGCAAAAACAAGCCGGUUAUUGUCAAAAUGAGUGUAGAUAUUAUUGGCACAAUGAUUUUUAUUAUCAAAGAGUAAUACCUUAGUUUUAUUGGUAUUAGUAUUACGAUUGUGAUGCUAUGCUUGUGUGUAAUAUAUAUUUGGUUUAAAAUGUAUUAUUUUAAUAAAUACAGAAUUUAUACAUAAUUUA